rnacentral:lncRNA from 1 species
AGCAGGAGGAAAAUGAGCCGAAGCAUCCUUUGAAGCAAAACAUUACAUAGAAUGCAAUUGGUUCUCACUGUGUCUCUCUUCUCCUGGAAACUAUUACUGAAGAUAAAUCAGGUGCAACUGAAGGACUAUGGCUAUGGUAGCUGCCUAGGAAGACUGGCCGUCGUAUUCAUGCUUGUGCAGCCCUUGGACUUUUAGAUCUACCAGCAUCCUUCACUGAGGCGGGAAGCAGAGUCAAGCUGUUGCCAUGAAGCUUGUUUCAAGAGCUCAGAAAUCCUCCAGGGAUCCUUUACUACUGCUUUUCAAAGAGGCCUUUUUUUUUCUCUUCUGCUUUUCCUGCAAAGAGGGUUAUAUCCAGUACUCAAGGACAUGGCUAAGGCUGAAUAUAUGCUGUGGAAACAGAAAUAUGUGUGAAGGGAUGUAUGAAACCACAGAAUAAAUGGAAUCCACUUUCUUGAAGUAGCUACAAUUCUACCUGAGGGUAAGUAAUUAAGUAUUUU